rnacentral:lncRNA from 1 species
GAAGGGUCAAAAGGGUAUUAUCAGGGGAAGAUAAAAAUGAGUUCUUGGAAGGUAUUAAGGAAGUGGGGUUUGAGGAAUUUGAAGUUGGUUGUGGUCGAAAUGAGCUUGUAGCUUUACAAGUAAAGUGGAAAGAAAGAUUUUUGUGGGAGAAAGGAAAUGGAGAAGAUGGUGAAGUGGGGGAGGGUGAAGGGGGGGUGGGGGGUAGUAGAGUUGUCAUGAAUUCUUGAACAUUUGGGAAAGAAGAGGAGAAAGGGGGAAGGAGCAGUGUUUAAAAUUGGGGGAAUGGUGAUAAGGUGGU